rnacentral:rRNA from 1 species
UGGGGAAUAUUGCACAAUGGGCGCAAGCCUGAUACAGCCAUGCCGCGUGUAUGAAGAAGGCCUUCGGGUUGUGAAAGUAACUUUCAGCGAGGAGGAAGGCAUUAAGGUUUAAUAACCUUAGUGAUUGACGUUACUCGCAGAAGAAGCACCGGCUAACUCCGUGCCAGCAGCCGCGGUAAUACGGAGGGUGCAAGCGUUAAUCGGAAUUACUGGGCGUAAAGCGCACGCAGGCGGUCUGUCAAGUCGGAUGUGAAAUCCCCGGGCUCAACCUGGGAACUGCAUUCGAAACUGGCAGGCUAGAGUCUUGUAGAGGGGU